CUUCAGAGCUGUUUCUGGUUAAACAGAAAGGUCUAAAGAGGUUUUAAAGGUCUAUCUCCUAGGGAUCCUUCCCAUAAUGUCGUCAGACACUUAAAAUAUUAAUCUGAGCCUGUCAGUGGCAAAA